UGGGGAAUUUUGGACAAUGGGCGAAAGCCUGAUCCAGCAAUGCCGCGUGUGUGAAGAAGGCCUUCGGGUUGUAAAGCACUUUUGUCCGGAAAGAAAUCCUUGGCUCUAAUACAGUCGGGGGAUGACGGUACCGGAAGAAUAAGCACCGGCUAACUACGUGCCAGCAGCCGCGGUAAUACGUAGGGUGCGAGCGUUAAUCGGAAUUACUGGGCGUAAAGCGUGCGCAGGCGGUUUGCUAAGACCGAUGUGAAAUCCCCGGGCUCAACCUGGGAACUGCAUUGGUGACUGGCAGGCUAGAGUAUGGCAGAGGGGGGUAGAAUUCCACGUGUAGCAGUGAAAUGCGUAGAGAUGUGGAGGAAUACCGAUGGCGAAGGCAGCCCCCUGGGCCAAUACUGACGCUCAUGCACGAAAGCGUGGGGAGCAAACAGGAUUAGAUACCCUGGUAGUCCACGCCCUAAACGAUGUCAACUAGUUGUUGGGUCAUUCUUCUAUAACGUAGCUAACGCGUGAAGUUGACCGCCUGGGGAGUACGGUCGCAAGAUUAAAACUCAAA
rnacentral:rRNA from 1 species